UCACCGAAAGGGUAAAGCCAGGGAAACCUGGUGGCGCAAAGCUACCUGUCCUGUAAUGGAUAGAGGGGCUGUCGAA
rnacentral:ncRNA from 1 species